rnacentral:rRNA from 1 species
GACUCUCGGGCAACGGAUAUCUCGGCUCUUGCAUCGAUGAAGACUUAGCGAAAUGCGUACUUGGUGUUAAUUGCAGAAUCCCGGUAACCAUCGCGUCUUUGAACGAAGUUGGCGCCCGAAGCACAGGCGAGGGCACGCCGCCUGGGUGUC